rnacentral:sRNA from 1 species
GCCAGGUGUGGUGGUGCACACCUGUAAUCCCAGCUACUCAGGAGGCUGAGGCAGGAGAAUUGCUUGAACCCAGGAGGCGAAGGUUGCAGUGAGCUGAGAUUGUGCCACUGCACUCCAGCCUGGGAGACAUAGCAAGACUCUGUCUCAA